rnacentral:rRNA from 1 species
GAGUAGCAUACAACUGGGUGGCGACCGGCGCACGGGUGAGUAACGCGUAUGCAACCUACCUAUCAGAGGGGAAUAACCCGGCGAAAGUCGGACUAAUACCGCAUAAAACAGGGACACCGCAUGGUGAUAUUUGUUAAAGAAAUUCGCUGAUAGAUGGGCAUGCGUUCCAUUAGGUAGUUGGUGAGGUAACGGCUCACCAAGCCGACGAUGGAUAGGGGAACUGAGAGGUUGGUCCCCCACACUGGUACUGAGACACGGACCAGACUCCUACGGGAGGCAGCAGUGAGGAAUAUUGGUCAAUGGGCGAGAGCCUGAACCAGCCAAGUCGCGUGAAGGAAGAAGGAUCUAUGGUUCGUAAACUUCUUUUGCAGGGGAAUAAAGUGCAGGACGUGUCCUGUUUUGUAUGUACCCUGAGAAUAAGGAUCGGCUAACUCCGUGCCAGCAGCCGCGGUAAUACGGAGGAUCCGAGCGUUAUCCGGAUUUAUUGGGUUUAAAGGGUGCGUAGGUGGUUUGAUAAGUCAGCGGUGAAAGUUUGCAGCUUAACUGUAAAAAUGCCGUUGAAACUGUCGGACUUGAGUGUAAAUGAGGUAGGCGGAAUGCGUGGUGUAGCGGUGAAAUGCUUAGAUAUCACGAAGAACUCCGAUUG